rnacentral:rRNA from 1 species
UCUCUCUGAAUCUGCGAACGGCUCCGCAAACCAGUUGUAAACUAUAGCAAGCAGGCUUGGGGUUGGCUCUCACGGGCUGGCUUCGGGCGAUAUGGAUAACCCUGGUAAUUCUGAGGCUAAUACAUGAACGUAAAACCUGGCUGACCGGGCUUCGGCCUGGAAGGCUGGGGGAUGUGUGAUUGCAGGCUUGGGUAACACCGGGAAAGGGCGCACGUCCAGACCGCGCUAUAAAGGAUGGGCUCCCUUCGGGGGGCCUGCCCCAGCGGCUCUUGCUGUGUGCUUCUGACCUAUCAACUAGACGGCAGCGUAAGGGACAUGCUAUGGUGACAACGGGUACAGAGGAUUAGGGUUCGAUCCUGGAGAGUGGGCCUGAGAGAUU